AAAUUGAAGAGUUUGAUCAUGGCUCAGAUUGAACGCUGGCGGCAGGCCUAACACAUGCAAGUCGAACGGUAACAGGAAGCAGCUUGCUGCUUCGCUGACGAGUGGCGGACGGGUGAGUAAUGUCUGGGAAACUGCCUGAUGGAGGGGGAUAACUACUGGAAACGGUGGCUAAUACCGCAUAACGUCGCAAGACCAAAGAGGGGGACCUUCGGGCCUCUUGCCAUCAGAUGUGCCCAGAUGGGAUUAGCUUGUUGGUGAGGUAACGGCUCACCAAGGCGACGAUCCCUAGCUGGUCUGAGAGGAUGACCAGCCACACUGGAACUGAGACACGGUCCAGACUCCUACGGGAGGCAGCAGUGGGGAAUAUUGCACAAUGGGCGCAAGCCUGAUGCAGCCAUGCCGCGUGUAUGAAGAAGGCCUUCGGGUUGUAAAGUACUUUCAGCGGGGAGGAUGGUGUUGUGGUUAAUAACCGCAGCAAUUGACGUUACCCGCAGAAGAAGCACCGGCUAACUCCGUGCCAGCAGCCGCGGUAAUACGGAGGGUGCAAGCGUUAAUCGGAAUUACUGGGCGUAAAGCGCACGCAGGCGGUCUGUCAAGUCGGAUGUGAAAUCCCCGGGCUCAACCUGGGAACUGCAUUCGAAACUGGCAGGCUUGAGUCUUGUAGAGGGGGGUAGAAUUCCAGGUGUAGCGGUGAAAUGCGUAGAGAUCUGGAGGAAUACCGGUGGCGAAGGCGGCCCCCUGGACAAAGACUGACGCUCAGGUGCGAAAGCGUGGGGAGCAAACAGGAUUAGAUACCCUGGUAGUCCACGCCGUAAACGAUGUCUACUUGGAGGUUGUGCCCUUGAGGCGUGGCUUCCGGAGCUAACGCGUUAAGUAGACCGCCUGGGGAGUACGGCCGCAAGGUUAAAACUCAAAUGAAUUGACGGGGGCCCGCACAAGCGGUGGAGCAUGUGGUUUAAUUCGAUGCAACGCGAAGAACCUUACCUGGUCUUGACAUCCACGGAAGAAUUCAGAGAUGGAUUUGUGCCUUCGGGAACCGUGAGACAGGUGCUGCAUGGCUGUCGUCAGCUCGUGUUGUGAAAUGUUGGGUUAAGUCCCGCAACGAGCGCAACCCUUAUCCUUUGUUGCCAGCGAUUAGGUCGGGAACUCAAAGGAGACUGCCAGUGAUAAACUGGAGGAAGGUGGGGAUGACGUCAAGUCAUCAUGGCCCUUACGACCAGGGCUACACACGUGCUACAAUGGCGCAUACAAAGAGAAGCGACCUCGCGAGAGCAAGCGGACCUCAUAAAGUGCGUCGUAGUCCGGAUUGGAGUCUGCAACUCGACUCCAUGAAGUCGGAAUCGCUAGUAAUCGUGGAUCAGAAUGCCACGGUGAAUACGUUCCCGGGCCUUGUACACACCGCCCGUCACACCAUGGGAGUGGGUUGCAAAAGAAGUAGGUAGCUUAACCUUCGGGAGGGCGCUUACCACUUUGUGAUUCAUGACUGGGGUGAAGUCGUAACAAGGUAACCGUAGGGGAACCUGCGGUUGGAUCACCUCCUUA
rnacentral:rRNA from 1 species